CCUACGGGGGGCAGCAGUGGGGAAUAUUGGACAAUGGGGGGAACCCUGAUCCAGCCAUGCCGCGUGUGUGAAGAAGGCCCUCGGGUUGUAAAGCACUUUCAGUGAGGAAGAACGCCUGGUGGUUAAUACCCAUCAGGAAAGACAUCACUCACAGAAGAAGCACCGGCUAACUCCGUGCCAGCAGCCGCGGUAAUACGGAGGGUGCGAGCGUUAAUCGGAAUUACUGGACGUAAAGCGCGCGUAGGUGGCUUGAUAAGCCGGUUGUGAAAGCCCCGGGCUCAACCUGGGAACGGCAUCCGGAACUGUCAAGCUAGAGUGCAGGAGAGGAAGGUAGAAUUCCCGGUGUAGCGGUGAAAUGCGUAGAGAUCGGGAGGAAUACCAGUGGCGAAGGCGGCCUUCUGGACUGACACUGACACUGAGGUGCGAAAGCGUGGGUAGCAAACAGGAUUAGAUACCCGAGUAGUC
rnacentral:rRNA from 1 species